UACGUAGGUGGCAAGCGUUGUUCGGAAUUAUUGGGCGUAAAGGGCGCGUAGGCGGCUUGUUAAGUCGGCUGUGAAAGCCCGGGGCUCAACCCCGGAGGGUCAGCCCGAUAACUGGCAGGCUAGAGUACGGAAGAGGUAGCUGGAAUUCCCGGUGUAGCGGUGAAAUGCGUAGAUAUACGGGAGGAACACCUGAGGCGAAGGCGGGCUACUGGGCCGAUACUGACGCUGAUGCGGCGAAAGCCAGGGGAGGCGAACGGG
rnacentral:rRNA from 1 species